rnacentral:lncRNA from 1 species
GGAGAGGUGGUACAAAUGCAUGUAGAUACCAAGACUUGCAUGAUUCCCAAUAUUAUUGCACAUUCGGUAGCAAAGAUGUUGACACCACAUGUCGUCUGAUGAUGACUUUUACGGGAUGGAAUAAGGUUUGGUCAUUGUAUUCCCUGAAAGGAAUGAGAGGAGAAAAGAAACUGGAAGACCUGGCUAUCUGCAGGCCAAUGCUGGCUGCAGGUCAAUAUUGAAUGCUCUUAUGAAAACUCAUGACAAUAACAAAAAAAAGAAGCUGAGGAUGCUGUUUUUAAAACAUGCUCCAUUCAAAAAAGGUGGAUUGAAAUUUAAGAAAGGUGUGACGGGUGCGUCUGCUGCAGGCAGGGAGGAUUUGACGGUCAGCCAGAGGAUUUGGAGAUAUACUGUAAUGUCUUUAAUGUGGACUUGCGUGUGAUUUAAGUUUUCACAAGGGUUUUAGUGUGUGUGAAAGUAUGUCAGUUUUCAAAAUUGAGCUAUGUCAAUUUGCUCAAACUACAUAACUCAAAGAACUUUGAAGCGGUCUUGUUGACGUCAUGAGCUUUUGUUUAAUACCAGUAUUGGUGAUAUAGGCCCAUGAUUAUUUACUGUAGAAAGUGAACAAGUUCACUGCUCGAUACAGAUAGUCAUAUAGCCUGAUCUCUGAAUGAUAUUUAUGAACCAAAAGAAGGCAUAAAAUAAAAACAUACAGUAGUGAUUUGAA